GUCAGGGUGGAGGAGGCUCCCUUGUGCUGGGAAACAGGUCCAUGUGCCUUUUCUUGGACAGCAAACCACCCUUAGGAGAUCCUCCCCAUCCUCCUCUCCUGCGCGUUCUUACCACCGCAUCCCCCCAAAGUGCACACUGAGCCACGCCAGUGAGCUGAUCCAAGGUGAAAAUAACCCUCCUGCAACCCCACUGCCACCAAAACCCAGCGGGGUAUCCCACUGAAGUACUGCAGCCCGGCACGUGCCGGGGAUGCAGACCGCCACGGGCAACUGUGCUGGCACAUGCUGCGGGAAAGGGGCGCCAGGGACGGGCUGGGUCGGGGAGAAGGGUGCGUGGAGCCAGGACGCUGGCGCUGGGGAGCUGCGCGCCCUGUAAGUGCUGAUCCGGGCUUAUUUUGCAGCCACUUCUCUGUACAGACAAGCCCAGCCUAGCUGUUUUCUUGACUGUUUGUCUUGGCAGCAAGUCCCCCCAUCGAACCGAGGGUGUCAUUUAUCUCCCACAGCAGCAGCCCUCGGCAGAACUAGUAGCAGCAGCGAAGCCCCGGAGGCCCUCGCUGGCGGAGGCUAACCCUGGCCUUUGGCUCGCAUUCCUCGCCCUCUCGCACAGGAACAAGGGUCCUUAAAGAGAGCCUGUUGCAGCCAGAGAGGCUUGGACAGAAACAGAUGGUGCGUGAACCACUGGGCAAAUGCACCCCAAAUUCAGGCUGUUCGUGCAGGAAUGUCCUACCAGAGCCCACCUGAGAUCUCGAGAGUCUUCCCCUUCCUUGAGGUUUUGAAACAAAACACUAAAGAAAAAAAAGCAUGUCUUUCAGCUUGUUUUGGUGUGUUCCUAGGGCAUGUCUAUUCCUCUUAUGAAUUAGAAACACUGGCAAUCACAAUAUGUUAUGCCUCUAACUGGUACAUACCAUCCUUAUUUCUUGCACUUAGAUGAGGAACAGCAAUACAGUUUAUUGCGCACUGGAUGGACAAAGAAAGCUUUGUUGACUCUGGGAUUUUGUCAUGUUGAUGUUUCUUUUCCACUUGACACUAAUACGGCACCAAAAGGGCUGGUUCGCACCCACUGGAAAUAGAAGUGUGAAAUUAAUAGCCAAAAAUAAAAACUCAUGAAAUGAUUUGGGAAAGAGGGAGAACAGCGAGAACUCAGAGGAAUGUAAUUUACUGAGCCUGAUUCACUAUGCUGGCAAGGAGCUCUGUGCCAGAGCCAAAUGAAUCAGAUUCCUUUUCAGUCUGUGCUGGCACCACAAUUAUUUAGGUGAAGCCAUGGGUAGAAGGAGCAGAUAUUUGGGAAGCGUUACUGGACAGACCGUAAGUUGAGACACCCUGACAUGUCUGCUGUAACUGAACCGGCUUGUGCCAUUUUAGCAUUAUAUGCACUGAAAGAAUUAAAAAAGUGAAAAUGAAGUAUGAUGGCACGUCAGGUCAGAGCCUCUUCUGAGAGUCAGGGAGGUUAUUCCUCACACGAGCCGAGUCUGGCUCCUGCAGGUUUUGUUUAUCUCUGUCUUGUAAUGGGGCUGGAAUAAACGCUGUUGCAGCUCAUAAACAAACAUCUCAAGAUAAUAUUUCUAAGAAAAAAAAUGCAUCUGGCAUUUUGUUUUAGAUCCUCAAAAUUUGCAGCCUGUAUUCAGCAGCUCUCGAGACACAGUGGGCACAGCUCUCGCUGUGCCCAUGGUGUUGCCGGUAAAAGCAGAGAGUCUGCCCAGAGGAGAAGGGAUGCCACUGUCCCUUUGGCAUUUUGGGGAUGUCACAGAUUGCUAUAGAGUCCCGCGUAUGGAUUUUCACAACUCUGGCUGAUCUCAGGAACCCACUUGGUGCUAUUCUUGCAAAGUGCAAAGAUGAAUUUGGCACCUGAAAAGCAUCAGUAUUGCAGUUCAAAUGCCCAUUCAGCAAAGUCCUAAAAUACAUGUAUUUCUUUGACCCUGUGCUCAAAUCCAAUGGCAAUCAAGAGGAUGACCUUGCCCAAGUGCUUUACUGACCUGGGCCUUUUAAAGACUGCCAUUAACUUCUGGGGAUUUUGGAUGAGGCCCCAAACAAGCUAAAGGAUGAGUUUAGAAAAAUUUGUGCUGAAAAGACCUUCAUAUUUUAGGAUUUGGCCACAGUUUGCUGCUGCAGACAUUCUCUUCUCCUAUUUGUUUGUUUCUCUGACUUAAAAAUUAUCCAUGGAAAACACUGCCUCAGUGUUCAGCAACAAAUGCAAAAUGCUGCCGGCACCCUCCAGAUGUCAGAUCUGAGUACGUGCUUGUGCUUGCCCGGCUAAGAAAGAAACCUGGCAAAUCUGUAUUCAUCUGUUUCUCACCUGUAUCAUCAUGACAGUGAGCUAAAGCUAGGGCAGAUGCACGGAGCCCGCAGAGAGACCUGCUUGCGAAAGGAGCCUAUUUUUAACAAGCCUUUCUUCCACGCUGCAGAGGAAACAAAGGAUUUAACAGGAGCUGCUUGAUGUGGGGUUCGUCGUGCGGUUUUCCCCACCCUUGUUUGGAUGAGCCUGCCCCAUCGCCUUGGCAAGCUUCCCCAAACACACCACACGCCUCGGGCAGCCCGCCAGCCUACCUGCCUGAGAAAAACAGACCUGCUUUCCCCGCCGCGCCCCGACCUUGAAGGAUGAUAGCCCGUUGGCAAGAAACAUCGGCAGUAACUGUUUGGAAAACACACGCCCGCCAAGUUUCGCCUGCAACUGGCUUUCCCCAGCGCGUCCGCCGGCCCUCGCCCGCCGCGCGACGCCGGGGCCUCACUCCUGCUCUGCAUCCGGGGGCACUUAUGGAAGAGGGUAUUAAAUAUCUCAGAGGCUCCCCGUGCAGAACCAGUCCCAAUCCAGAUGCGGAGACUGUGUGAUUCUGUGCUGCAGGAGGAGUGCGGCUAGACUGAAACUAAAUGCUGACACACUCCUUAGUCCCCCGGUGAAUAUACAUCCUCGGACGCCAACCAGAUUGUUCCAGGCUGUCCUGCAUUGCAUUAUGCCUGAGUGAUCAUUGCUUGCAGCGCCGGAGCUUCAGGUCACUGCAGAGAGAGGGAAGGAGUGAUAUAGAUGUUCCCAGCAGAGCCCGGAGACACUUAGGGAGAUUGAUGAAGGAUGCCCGGGCUGCCUGGCGGCCCCGAUUGGCUGCUGCGCUCCUGGAGCUCGAGUUGAGAGGGCAAACUGACACCGAGAGCACAGCAGCCUCCCGGCGAGGGAGAGCCAGUCAGGAGACCCCCAGGCACCUGGGGCUUGGAAAUGUCAAGGCGAGUUUCUGCAUGCCUCCCUGGGAAGAUGUGGCUGAGGUGGGCAGGAGGGGAGUGAACCCCCCGAUCUUCCCUUUCCUGCUAGGCAGGGCCUGAUCCAAAGCCCUCUGAAGUCAGCAGAGGGAAUCCCACUUUUCUGCCAGUGCUUAAAAAUUACAUGCUUAAACCCCUGUCCCCUAACAGAGAAAGGGGUCUGGGACACAUACGGAGAAUGAACUUCAGUUCAUGGUCAUCUACUUACCACCAUCAAGGAUGAAUAAGAGUCAGAUAAAAUGUAUAUGAGGAUCUUCAGUGUUGUAUUUAUGAUAAUGCUCAGACACUUAUGCAAUGAACAUCAGACAAAGACAUCCCAAAGCCCCUCUUGGUCUUUUAUUAGUAAUUUUUACAAAACAUAGAAAUUGUGCUCCCCAUUCUAAAUGCAAUCAGCCCCAGGCAGAAAACAGCUGCUAUUCAAAAAUGCUCACUAUGUCUGAUCCAGUGCCCGCUUAGAUCAAUGGGACCAGUUUUCAUAAUCCCAAUGGGAGCUGAAUGGAAACCGAGAGGAGUCAGUGCAAGCCAAAAGGUGAGUACUCCUAAAGGCAACGAAUUCACCCUUACUGUCUCCCCCAUCCCUGUUUGUGAGUAUCGCAGUGGUAUUCUUAAUGAGGACAGGACAGGAAGGGGCUUCAAAGCUUCAUGCUAGAGCUGGAUAAUAGCAGUGGCCCCGCAACUGGCAAUUCAUGGCAAAGGCAGCGGCAGGUGUGGUUGUAUUGCUUCAGGCACCAGGGUUAGCUUGUCCUCAGCCCUCACUUCAUCACGAAGGAGAUAUGCCCCCUGACAUCAGUAAGCUGGUCCCAUCUAGGACUGUGGGAUUCAGUGCCUCUGAGAGCAUAGGAGAGCCGGCUCCCAGCAGAAGUGAGGUGUAUAGCCUCCUGAGGGUGGGUUCAACUCCCAUGACUUUAAAGGUCUACAGUAUAAACAUCUACACUUUGGGUCCCAUUACAGUCAAGGGACUACAGUCAUCUAACCAGUGAAGGUAUUUAGAGAUUGUGCUUCAGAUCUCACUGUCUGUAUGGACCAUACAACCCACAGUUUUGCCUCCAUGGCUCCUUGAGCUGCCAUGGGAGACUAGAUGCCAAGCUUAGAUGUAGAGAUCUGCAUUGCAAAUACCUUGCAAAUAUGGUUAGGUGAGAUGAAUUCCACCCCUGGCAUUUGUGGGUUUAUAGAUGCCAGUGAUGAGCUACUGCAGAGGAUCUAGAGAUGAGACCAACAUUUAUGUUAAUUGUACCAGCCCAGAUUAAGCAACUGUCACCGUGCUGGACCAGUCCUUGUGACGGACACAACCUUCGCUAUGCAAUGGGAGUGUAAGGUCACAACUGCUGUGCUUGUGUGAGUCCCUUACACCCAUCUGGACAUAAGCAGGGCUUGAAAAGAGGAUAAUCACUAUCACAGCACUUCCUAUCCAUGUACAGCUUGGAUAGGAGCAGGAGUAGGCAAUUAUUCUCUAGAAGCUGAUAAACAUUUUGCUGGAGUAUUAUAUUCCUAAGAUAUAUAGUGUAUGCUAGGUUCCAGAAUUGAAAACCAAUGGUGCAUUUGAACCUCCUACUCUCUGCUACCUGUGUCUUAUGGCAUAAAACCUUGGAUGGCAGAGCCAGUCCAAGAUCCCCCUGCUUGUCACUGCAUACAAGGACAAUGAAUCAGAAGACCUAGUGAAGUGACUCAGGGAUUCUCUGUGCAUAGGACGUGGUUCCUCUAUAUUUACAGAACCAGCUGAUCAGAAAAGCGCAGUGAGGCAUCUGACAAGCAGAUUAUUCUUAGUGCAGCAGAGAAAGAAAAACUCAUGUGUUGUUUCCUAUUGUUGACAGGCCUUUGCAAAUUAUGCUUUUAAAUGUAGUAAACUAGUGAAGAUGACAACAGUUCCGGUAAAAAUGCACAUGCAAGCAUACACACACACACACACACAGAGGAGGACAGCUGAGCCAGAAGAAUCUCCUUAUUUACUCAUUUCAGCCAUGUGUUUUCACCUACAAAGCCAAAACACUUCUUGUAGCAGGUCCUUUUUUGUUUAGCUUUAUUUUUGCCUCUGGUAUCAGUAGUGAAUUCAUGUUGAAGACAGAAAGUUUGCAAUAUAAGGAGUGCAACAAUACAUCACCAUCCAGCACAGGAAACCAGCAAAGUAGGACCUGGAAAAAAAAACCCUGACUGGGGGCAAGAUCUAAACAAGGUUUUGGAACUUAAAGCAUGAUUUAUGCAGAAAUUAGCCAGCACUGUCCAGCACUGUGGUCCCAAACACCCCAGCUCUCUACUCAGGCUGCUGCCUAAUACUGAACAGAACUGCACUGUGCAGGCACCUCAUUUUGUUGCCCAAGAGAUUGGAUCUGCUCCUGCAUAUGCCCAUAGCUGUCCUGUGGGAGGGGGUCAAUGUCUAGCUUACCCUUGAGCCUAUCUGGGCUCCCAAGCCUCUCUCCACUGGAUUUCCGGAGAUAUUUUGUUGGUAGCUGUCCUUGGAGCAUACAUUACCAGAACUAGCAGGUUUGGGUUUCUCAACAGGCAGUGAUUUAGGGUGGUGCCCACCUUCAUUGUAAUAAUCCAGUGCAUAGAGCACUCCCCUGGAAUGUGGUUGGUCUGGGUUCAGUUCCCUCUCUGUUUUGAGAGGGUUCAAAUCCACAUUUUUCAUAUCCCAGAAGAACCAGAAAUGUGAACAAAGACUAGCACUGGAUCUGGGAAAGCACUUUGUCGUAAGGCCAUUAUAAAAGCUCUGGGGCUCUUGACUGCUGAACAACUCCUUCAGACAGACUGUUUCUGAAUACUGAUGAAGGGAAAAUGACAGCCCCUUUACAGAGGAAACGGUGAAGAAUCAGUAGCUCCUCCCCGACGGACCAGAUGUGCAGUCACAACAGGGGGUAGUGGCAGUAGCUACUGAAACGUGCAGUUUUCUGAGGUAUUGAUGAAAGAGAGCAAGACUUGGAAAUGGCACAGUACACCUCUGGCUGCACAUAGUGGACUCUGGCGUGUUUAGUUUGCAUGAGCUGGCUACACAGAGCCGGGCUGUUAGAGUAUCUCUACUGUAGCUGCGCAACAAAACACAGACCUGCCAGCCAACCUCUGCAGCACCAAAACUCAGCUCCCUCCAUCCCCAGCCUUCCUGCAUUCUUCACAAAGAUAUGUUCUCUAAACAUAUCUUUCCCCUGUAUAAUCCAAAUGCUCAUCCUCUGAAAACGUCCUCUUCUCCAUUGCACCUCACUAGGUGUAUCCAGGUGGAGGUGCCCUCUGGGCUGGCAGCUGGAGUCUGAUGGCCGCAGGGCAAGUGUGUCAUGGAAACAUCGACAGAUGACAGAAGAAUAAGGAAAAACAAUUGCAAUGUGCUAGUGCUCCCUCAGGGACUGCAAACAAGAAUAAGAUAAAAAAGACAAUACCAGACCUUUCUUGUGACAUUUCAUACCCUAGAAGGGUUGUGCUGGGUAAAGAAGGGCUGUGCCCUUCUCUGGAAGAACAGCCCCAGGCACAAGUGCCCCAGUGGACUGUGGUUUGGAAACAUCAUAAAACUGCCUGUCCCAGGGCCUUUUUCCACUUGCUGUGUAGUUGUGCAGCUCUGUAUUCCUUCUCUGCUUGUCAUGACUUUACUCCCCUAGCCCAGGCCGUGUUGGCCAUGAUAGGACAGAGCUGCAAGGCUUGACCAGGCUACACAUUGAGCAAUGUCACAGAAUGAGGCGAAGCCGCUGCGCAUCAGGAGGAGGUUGGUGGUACAAUAUUUCUGUUUCCCUCUGAGUCUACAAAGAUCUAGGAGGGAGGUAUUGGUGGAGUUAUGUUUGUGUGUUCAAAGGUGGGAUUAACUGAAGAGUCUUUAGUUCUCUAAAAGGGAGGUGUUUAGUCUUAAGUUCAUUUUCAAGGAUCUCUUUCUAAUUUCUGGGAAGAGAAAUGCACCUUUGAAGGGAGAUUCCUACUCCUGUCUUCAGUGCCAGGCGUUGAAAACACCCAUCUCUCCAGUACUGUACGGGGGAGCCUGAAGGACCAUUUCUUUCUGGUUGCUGUGUUUCAUUGCCUAUACUUGGGUACACAGCACUGUUCCAGCCACCGUAGGGCAUUGGAGGCAUCUGCAUAGGGCCCACAGAUAUGGCACAGGGCUCAGAGGAAACCCGUGUCCUUCCAGAGAGGCAAGAAGAAGCAAGGUGAGACACCCUGAACAUCUCAAAGAGCACUAGACACCUACCUUUGGACAUCUGAACCUAGCCCAGGAGGUUUAACUUUUAGAUUGUUAAAGCUGGGUGAACACAACUGUUCUGGAUCAUGUUCACAGAUUCAUAACUGGAUCUUGACAAUCUGAGUAACUGGAUGAUUGGAAUUGUUCUUUGUGGUAUAUUUAUUUUUUCUACAUUCAUUUCUACUUCUUUUGUUUGAUUUCCUCUUUCCCUUGUGAUUCUGUUUUUCCAAAUACUGAAGCACCUGCAACAUUGACCCCUUAAGGGAGCUCAUGUUUCUGUUCUCUCCAUAGGUACUUGCAUGGUAAUGAGGCCUUCUUGUUGGAUACUGCCUUCUCUAGCCACUUGAUCUACUUCAUUUCAUGGGCAAGGUUCUUCCAGCACGAUUUAUGGUGUUGGCCCUGCACACCCUGUUCCCGCUGUAUUGUUCCUGGCGGCCCCCUGCACAGGAGCACAGUGGCAGGGCGAGAUGCGGUACACAGCGGUCGCUUGCCGCACUGCACUGGACAGCGCGCACCUGAUCCCCUCUGCAGCCAGGAGAUUUAAAGCUUCACCAUAAGGCCACAGUUUUGUCAGAAGUAAAAAUACUAGCAGAGAGUUUGGGUUAGAAAUCUACUUCCUGGAGGUAUUACUAGCAAUUUCUCCAAGUUUGGGCUGGGCCAGCCCUUACCACGUCUCCAUACACUAAUGUGUUUGAAUGACUUUGCCAUAGGUCAGCGGCAGUAUCUUAGGGAGAAAGAAUUCCAGCUGUCUUCUUACUUUGCAGCUUUCAUGCCAUUGAAAGGUUAACGGGGCCAAAUGCCUCCCUGAUCCUUGAAUGCAUGGGGAAAACACAGGGAAUACAGUUAGCCCUUUGAAACUUAGAGCUGGAAGAGGACUGAUAGGCCACUUGCAUCUGUUCUCAGAGGCACUGGCUGCGUGAGAUGAGCAGUAUCUUCUCUAACGCUUCAGCUGCUCUGUGUUGGUACGUUGCUUAAGUGAGAGAACCUCCUUCAUUUCCACUGUGCCAGAUGUCCCUGUCACUCUGCAUUUUUAUUUUACCAGGUUCCAUAAUUUUCCCCCAGACCUCUAUUCCUGCAUUCCUCUUCUGUGUUUGCACUCUAGCAGCCAAAUUAAUAUCCUUGUUCUUGUAAAGGCCCUGAUCCCUCUCUCUUUCUUCCUCGCUCUAAAACAGAGGGUUCCUGCAUUUCUUAGCGCUGACCCUGAAUUGCUGAUUACCAGUCAGAUGGUGCUGUCAUUGCAUGUGCAAAUGCAGAACAUGUGUGGCAUGAGAUUUUUUCCACUAAGUUCUACUGGGACCAGCAGGGAGCUGCACUGUCCUGGGACACUUGUUCACACUGUCAUGCCCAACAGAAGGUCCACACAGUGUCUCCCCAGCCUCCUCGCUCUGCUUCAUUGGCUUCCUGAAGUCCUUCCUUUUUUAUUUGCUGUGAUUCUUUCGCUUAGAUUUAUGAUCUGGCCAGUUCAGCUAUUUGAGAUCUAAUGUAUCAACUUGCAAUAGGACUUGCUGCAAACUCUGUGGAAUUACCGAUCAUCUGAUUUGCUAUGUCUGCCUCUAUUUUUUAAGGAUGUCUUAUUUGACUUUCUAGAUUCUAAGGUGUUUUAGUCUAUGUGGCAUGGACAGGUUGCAGUGAUGCCUGCCACCUGACUUUUGUGAUUUGGUAUCUGCUGAGUUGUACAGUCUCCUUUAUCAGUAACAUCCAGCUAGGCACUUUCCCAAGGUAAAAAUCUGCUUAGGGAGCUGGACUGAUCACAUAUGCACAAACCUUUUCUGGCACAAAUGCAAUAUGAAAGUAAAGCAACAAAGCUCACUGGAGCCAAAUGGGUGUCAUUCAUUUCUGUCAUCCUGCAGGUCUUGCUGCCUUAAGCAGUACUUGAAGAACAGAAUGGAAAACUUAGAGGCAAGUUUAGAAGUUGCCUGAAACUGUUCCUACUGUACCUGUAGGCAUGCAAAGCUGAUAAUUGUGCAUGGAAAAAAUGGAUGCAAACCAAAAUGCAUUAAAAUCUUUGGUCUGAAAUAAAAAAGGCAUGCUCAAUUUCCCCCUUCCUCCCUCUUUUAAAUAUGUCAGUGAUCUUCUCUGGUACUGGAGUGCACAUAAAAGUCAGCACGUGGUGCCUUGCUGCAGCCCCUGGGCACUGAAGGAGCCUGGGUGCAUGGACCUUUAGCCUGCACAAUCCAGGUGCAUGGAAAAGUCUGAACUUUUCUAAAUUUGGGCCACUUGUUUACACUGCUGUUUUUUUUCUAGCCUGAGAUCAGCUUUAGUCACCUGCAGUCACACUACUUUGCUUGGCUAAGUGAAGGUAUAUGCAUGUGUAUAUGUGCUGGCACAUCUUCAGGACAAGGGAGGGGGCAGUGUCCAGUGAAUGUGUGCUCUCUGUAGGGUCAUAUUUUGAUGUCCUGACUGAGCCAUUCCUUAGGCAAAGCUCCACCGAGCAGCUGUGUAAAGCCAUUUAGACAAUGGACUUCUCACUAUAUUUCAAUAUAUGAGCUGAAUGAGGAUUGAGCAAAACCUGUAGACACUGACCCCCUGCACGGUUAUUAUUUAUAAAGACACUGGCUUUUGCUGCUGAUAUAACCUGGCCCUCUGUACCUCAACUUUUGUUGGAGAUUUUCUAUUAUUGCUCUUAAUGAAUUUUACAAGAUCUGC